GGCAGACCGCAGCUCAUAUAGGCACCACCCAUGUUUAAGCGUGAGGGGGCGCUGCGGA
rnacentral:rRNA from 1 species